rnacentral:rRNA from 1 species
UACGUAGGGCGCAAGCGUUUGUCCGGAUUCACUGGGUGUAAAGGGUGCGCAGGCGGGAAAGUAAGUUAGAGGUGAAAUCUCACAGCUCAACUGUGAAACGGCCUUUGAUACUGCUUUUCUUGAGUUAGGGAGAGGUUGAUGGAAUUCCAGGUGUAGCGGUGAAAUGCGUAGAUAUCUGGAGGAAUACCGGUGGCGAAGGCGGCAUCCUGGACCGGCAUUGACGCUGAGGAGCGAAAGCCAGGGGAGCAAAGCGGG